rfam:Ruegeria pomeroyi DSS-3, complete genome.
GGGGACCUUCGGGGCCCUAUACCAUGGGCACCUACGGGGGCCUCAAUACAUAGGCGGGGGAACCCGCCGUUGCUAAACGGAAGACAGAAA